rnacentral:lncRNA from 1 species
UUCCUCUUCAAGAAAAAUUGUAGGCCUCUUUCACCUUGGCCAAAGUUUGCUCCUCCAUUCUUGUGCAAUGGGCAUAUCAAGCACGUGAAGCAUCAAAAUUCAUCCAAUCUCACAGAUUCCAACUUCAACGUCCUAGUUGACUGAAAUUUAAAAUCAAAAUAAAAAGAUCCCACCCAAAAUCAAGAACCCUAGUUUUCCUCUAUAAAAACCUGCGUUUGGUGUUAAUUCAGGGAAAUUCUUAGCAACCGCUGCUCCCACCACUCUUGAAACCAUUAUGUCCCCUUCUUAGCUAAAAAAGAGCAUUUGUUGUCUCAUCUCUUCUAUUUCUCAGGCGAGAAGAAUUUCCUUUCGGUUUUGGUCAUCUCUUAAGUCUUGAACAAGCUUUUGAUCUGCUGCAUCCCUCCUCGCUGCGAAGCUUAUCACUUUCUGUUGUGAUCCUAAAAUCGAGUGUUUAAAACUCAGAAUCAUUCGUAUUCGAGAGUAGAAUCGUGACUGAAGGGCUUUAGUUCGCUGCUCCGGAAAAAAGCCUGUGGGGUGUUCUAGCUGCUCCGUAAAUUUUGUUAGAUUAUUAGUUUAAAAGGAAUUAAUUGCAUUGUUUGCUGCUAAUAUCAGUGUGUGGAUAAAGGAUUACAUGAAGGAACUUUUGUUGUUUGUUCAUUGGUUUAUUUAUUGUCAUUUAACCCUCUUACUGCGUGAUUAGUUGUGUAGUUGAUCUGAUUUUGGCUUCUCUGCAUUCACCUCAUAUUGUGUCAACUUUCAUUGUUUUCUCAUAGUAUGUAAGGAACUGAAAGGAAAAAGAGGUCUUAUAUUAGGAUUGUUCAUCCCAAUUUUGUUCACGUCAACGUUAAAAGAUAGUUUAGCCAUGGUUUAGCCGUGAUACAAUAAUUUAGUUUGGGCCUAUGAAAUCUGUUAAAUAGAUAACUUAUAUUGGUGCGAUUACAUGUGUUGUGUACAUGAGUUACAUGUCCAGAAUCUUUGUUCCCUUACUGUAAGAUCGUGAAAAUGAUCAAGUUCUCUUAACCUUUUUGUUGUUUGAGAUAAAGAUUUGACUUACUUUGGCAAUGAGAGAAAAGGUAUGAGCUGCUCAUUCCCUGAGUUUCUUCUCUGGUUGGACCCAAUAAUAUUGCUACUUUCACCAAAAUCAUGAGAAUUAGACAUUAUGCCAUUCAUUGGAACUACGUUUAGAAAGUUCCAAAGGGUUUUGGACGGUACUACUUUGUAGCAACGAUGUAGUAGUAGUAGGUUUAAAUAUAUAAAUAAGUAAUUUGUAUGUAGGGAGAGAGAGAAAAAAAUUGUUGGUGAGUUCCAUUCUUCUGUAUGAGUUUCUUUUUUUUAUUUUUUUUCCUUUUUAUCCAUUCAUCCUUUUAGCCACUAUAGUGACCAUGCUAUUAACAUAAUAGAUUUUAUUCCUCGUAGCAUAGAUAUGAUAUUAUGUGAUAAAAAAUUGAGAUAAAAGUGAAGUUUUGUUAUUAAAUGUACACUAUUUCAAAUGCU